rnacentral:rRNA from 1 species
GACGAACGCUGGCGGCGUGCUUAACACAUGCGAGUCGAACGGUAAGGCCCUUCGGGGUACACGAGUGGCGAACGGGUGAGUAACACGUGGGUGAUCUGCCCUGCACUUCGGGAUAAGCCUGGGAAACUGGGUCUAAUACCGGAUAGGACAACUGCCUGCAUGGGUGGUGGUGGAAAGCUUUUGCGGUGUGGGAUGGGCCCGCGGCCUAUCAGCUUGUUGGUGGGGUGAUGGCCUACCAAGGCAACGAUGCGUAGCCGACCUGAGAGGGUGAUCGGCCACACUGGGACUGAGACACGGCCCAGACUCCUACGGGAGGCAGCAGUAGGGAAUCUUCCGCAAUGGGCGAAAGCCUGACGGAGCGACACCGCGUGAAGGAUGAAGCCCUUUCAGGGUGUAAACUUCUGUUCUGAGGGACGAAAUUUUUGACGGUACCUCAGGAGAAAGCACCGGCUAAUUCUGUGCCAGCAGCCGCGGUAA